rnacentral:rRNA from 1 species
UACGUAGGGGGCAAGCGUUGUCCGGAAUUAUUGGGCGUAAAGGGCUCGUAGGCGGUUUGUCGCGUCGGGAGUGAAAACUCAGGGCUUAACCCUGAGCCUGCUUCCGAUACGGGCAGACUAGAGGUAUGCAGGGGAGAAUGGAAUUCCUGGUGUAGCGGUGAAAUGCGCAGAUAUCAGGAGGAACACCGGUGGCGAAGGCGGUUCUCUGGGCAUUACCUGACGCUGAGGAGCGAAAGUGUGGGGAGCGAACAGG